UACAGAGGGGGCGAGCGUUAUUCGGAAUUAUUGGGCGUAAAGGGCGCGUAGGCGGCUUUUCAAGUGACGGGUGAAAUCCCUCGGCUUAACCGAGGAACUGCCUGUCAGACUGGAAGGCUUGAGACCGGGAGAGGUGAGUGGAAUUCCCAGUGUAGCGGUGAAAUGCGUAGAUAUUGGGAGGAACACCAGUGGCGAAGGCGGGUCUCUGGGCCGAUACUGACGCUGAGGAGCGAAAGCGUGGGGAGCGAACAGG
rnacentral:rRNA from 1 species